rnacentral:lncRNA from 1 species
AUGUGUCUCCUGGUCACUGCUUCUGCAAAUACUGAGGAGGGACAUGUUCACAGGUCCUGCAUGGCCCUUGGUGACCACAGGCUCUCCCGGCCACCACCACUAACACUGCUGUCUGCAUGUUUCAGGGAGGUGUCCUCUGGGAAUUCGCCUGCAGGAGGACUGACAAGCAGCAAUGACACUCGGUCCCUGUCCGGACACCCGGCACGGCACAAGGAGGCCGGACAUCGAGGUGCUGCCUCUGUCCUUGAUGCCAGCCACGCUCCUCGUCCUCCUCGUCCUCCUCAGCCCCGGCACCACCUCUGAGCCUGAGAUGUUGCCAUUCCCAGGUGAGAUUCUUCUCUUAAAGUCACUUUUCUCCAGGAAGUUUUGUAAUUGAAAAAUGCAUUUUCAUGUAAAAGAGGGGAU